CUGGUGAGAUGUCGGGAUUAGUGGCUGUGGGCGGUUCGCCGCCCUCUGCCGCUGAGAACCUCAUCAAACCCUCCCACCUAGAGGAAGGAGAAGUCGUAACAAGGUUCCUGUAGGUGAACCUGCAGGAGGAUCAUUG
rnacentral:rRNA from 1 species